UAAAAUUUUAAUAUGACACUGAAGAAAGUGAGAGGGAAAACUGAAACAGGAAGAACAAUCCUGUUGAAUCCCCCAAAUUCCAAACUUGAUCCUGAAACCCUAACUAGUCCACAACUGUGUGUAUAAUUGUGAAUUAUGGAUGCCAAAGAUAUCCUGGGAUUGCCAAAAAACUCAUUCCCCUCUCUUGAGAAGAAGUCUCGACCUCCCAAAGAGUCUCAACGAAAACCUGAUGGCAUUUCGCGCGAGGUGUAUGCGCUUACAGGUGGAUUGGCCCCUCUUAUGCCUUCUAUUGAAGCUUCUCAAUUGAAGAAAAAGCCUCCUCCUCUCGAAAAGAUCACUUGGCAGUGGCUUCCUUUCACCAGCUCUGCUCGUAAAGAUAAUCUUCAACUUUACCACUGGGUUCGAGUUGUCAAUGGUGUUCCUCCUACGGGUGACUAUUCUUUUGCCAAGUAUAAUAAGGCAGUUGAUGUGAUCAAAUACACAGAUGAGGAGUAUGACAAGUAUUUGACAAAUCCUAUGUGGACCAAAGAGGAGACCGAUCAACUAUUUGAUCUAUGUGAGAGAUUUGAUCUUCGAUUUGUUGUAAUAGCUGAUAGGUUUCCAUCAUCUCGGACUGUAGAGGAAUUAAAGGAUAGAUAUUAUAGUGUUUCGCGGGCUAUAUUGGUUGCUAGAGCUCCAUCUUCUGGUGAUGUUGCAGCACAUCCUCUUGUUAAGGAACUGUAUAAUGUUUCACAAGAAAUGGAGCGAAAGCGUGCACUGUCCAUGGUCCUCUCUCAAACAAGGCAACAAGAACGCAGAGAUGAAGAGGUUCUUGUUGAAGCAAAAAGAAUAGCUGAAUCUCGCAUUCCACCCAAGGUUGCUGAAGAGUCUCACUUGGCUGCUUCUAAUGCUGGUGCAGAAGCUACAGAGAGAGCUGUCCCUGGUGAAACUGUAUCUCCAUCGAAUGUGCAACUUCCAUCAAUGGUUGUGCCUCCUACAUUAUCAGAUAACGCAUCUACUCUAGCUUCUCUUCGCAUGCUACGUGUAUAUUUGAGAACAUAUGCACUUGAACAAAUGGUGCAAGCCGCAAACUCAUCUGCUGGACUUCGGACUAUCAAACGGGUUGAGCAAACCUUGCAAGACCUUGGGGUCAAUUUGAAACCAAGAGUUCCAACAAAAGCUGUUUGUGCGGAGCACCUUGAAUUAAGAAAAGAAAUACUAACUUGGCUUAAUCUCCAGAAACAGGUUCAAUAUAAAGAGGCCGAAGGUUCCUCUUUUCGUGAUGGGUCAUAUGGUGAAACACCUGGCACACCUAAGCAUUUACAUCGUGCUGGGGAUCAGGAUCGGACAUUCAUUCCAGAUGCAAUGAAUUUUGGAGUGGAAAGGGUUGGCAAAAAGGACCAAAAGCGUAAGGCACCUGGAGCUCCAUCGGCUCAUAAAAGACCUAGAAAACUGAAGGCCACAGAUCUCUAGUUCCUCUGGUGAGAGCUUAUAUUUUUCAGAGAUGAUUCAACACUGGUAGUUUGGUGGCAACCAAGAAAAAGGGUGUUUCAAUUCCAAGAAUAUUUUUAAUCAAAAUUAUGAAUGUGGAAACUGGCUUUGGACUCAACACCUGGAAAUUCUGAUUAUGGUAUAUUGAGUCCAAGUGCAGUUCUGUUUACUUCGGUCUGCAAUUUUAGACUAAUGCCACUCCUGUUCUUCAAUUUAAAGAGAAACUUGAGAUCCCUGGGAUGAAUGAGAUCUCUCAUCUUUAGCAUGUCCUGAGAAGCUGGACUUAUUUCUCACGCUGAUAAUGCUUUGUAGGGAUACCAGGUACAAAAAUGGCUUCUUAUUUGGAUAUGCAUGUAUAUAAGCUUAGAAACGGGAAUUCCGGAUGUCUUUGAAGGCUUAUGAAUGCUGAAAUUGGGAGCAAUUGGAAAUACUACAUUGCUUCGUGUAUGUUUCUAACCGUUUGCACCAUUGCACACCCACUGAAAAAAAUGUUGUGAUAUUUCAAGCUAUAUGAAAAUAAUUUAAUUCACAUUUGCAGUUGUCUUCGAAAAUUCAUGGAAUAUGACAGGAACUUAGAGGCCAAGAGUAGCCAAUUGACGAACUUUUCUCCUUCCCUCGUUUGGGAUUAUUUUCUUUGUUCUAUAUGCUUGACUCCUUUUCUCCCAGACAACUCUUUUAUCGAAGCUGCCAAAAUAUGAAAAGGAACACAAUGAGGAGAACAGAAGUGAAUUAAGACGAGCGAUAAUUAAAUUUAGUGGAUGAUAAUACACAAACAAAUGAAUAAGUGAUUGCUUCGUAAUUGACGGGUAUUAUUCUGUUAAGCAAAAUACUUUAUUCCAUAGUGUUUGUUGCAAGCCUGUUUGGUGGGUUAACAACUUAAACACUGUAAUAGUGUUUCGUUUGCUUUCUUCAUUGAGUUUGGUUUGAUUUGGAUCC